UACAGAGGGUGCGAGCGUUAAUCGGAAUUACUGGGCGUAAAGCGUGCGUAGACGGCUAUCUAAGUCGGGUGUGAAAGCCCCGGGCUCAACCUGGGAAUUGCAUUCGAGACUGAAUAGCUAGGGUGCGGUAGAGGGAAGCGGAAUUUCCGGUGUAGCGGUGAAAUGCGUAGAUAAUCGGAAGGAACAUCAGUGGCGAAAGCGGCUUCCGUGGAC
rnacentral:rRNA from 1 species